rnacentral:rRNA from 1 species
UACGUAGGGGGCUAGCGUUGUCCGGAUUUAUUGGGCGUAAAGAGCGUGUAGGCGGCCAGAUAGGUCCGUUGUGAAAACUGGAGGCUUAACCUCCAGCUGUCGAUGGAAACCAUCUGGCUAGAGUCCGGAAGAGGAGAGUGGAAUUCCUGGUGUAGCGGUGAAAUGCGCAGAUAUCAGGAAGAACACCCGUGGCGAAGGCGGCUCACUGGCCCGGUACUGACGCUGAUGCGCGAAAGCGUGGGGAGCAAACAGG